rnacentral:rRNA from 1 species
AACGAACGCUGGCGGCAGGCUUAACACAUGCAAGUCGAACGCCCCGCAAGGGGAGUGGCAGACGGGUGAGUAACGCGUGGGAAUCUACCCAACUCUACGGAAUAACUCAGGGAAACUUGUGCUAAUACCGUAUACGCCCUUCGGGGGAAAGAUUUAUCGGAAUUGGAUGAGCCCGCGUUGGAUUAGCUAGUUGGUGGGGUAAAGGCCUACCAAGGCGACGAUCCAUAGCUGGUCUGAGAGGAUGAUCAGCCACAUUGGGACUGAGACACGGCCCAAACUCCUACGGGAGGCAGCAGUGGGGAAUAUUGGACAAUGGGCGCAAGCUUGAUCCAGCCAUGCCGCGUGAGUGAUGAAGGCCCUAGGGUUGUAAAGCUCUUUCACCGGUGAAGAUAAUGACGGUAACCGGAGAAGAAGCCCCGGCUAACUUCGUGCCAGCCGCCGCUGUAA